UCAUAAAUUGAUAUUACACUUGAGUGGACACAUCUAAGGGCUUUCAGAAACCACAGAUAAGCCCCUGAUGUGACUUGUUUAUUUAUUUUAAGAAUAAAACUUUAUACUUAUCGCUUACAGAAACGCUGGGCUAUCACUCACAGAAAUGCUACCAACCAAACCAUAACUUCAAUACAAAAUCAAAGCAUUCCUUAAGUGACAGCAUUUUGUUUUAUUGCUUCUUCUGACUAUUCAGGACUUCAUGGACAUCAUUUUGCCAGUUUCCAGGCUUCACUAAGAGAAAAUGGAACAUUCUUCUUCAGAAUGAAUGGAACCAACAGCAAUUCUUUAAAAUGAUGGAUGAAGUAAUUUUUCCCUCUCUCUGGCAGCAGUUAUAUUUCUCAGUGACACAGGAGGAGGAAGAAAACAUUUAGGAGGAGCUUCCACUUCUUCAAAAAAGUAGACAGAUACUUCCAGACCUCAGGUACAUAACAGAAGAAGCAAGUAAGCACUGUAUGAAGGUUUUUCUUCCAGGUCUAGUCCCAUUCCCAGAAAGGCAGAACUGAAAGGCAAUGGAAAGAAAUGAAAUAAUGAUCCACAGUUCUGAAGGCCCCCAACGCACCAUCAUAGCUGUCUAUUUGAGAAUUGUAUAAAUACUACUGCUUUCAAAAUA